rnacentral:rRNA from 1 species
GGCGUCGAGGUAGUGUAUGUCAUACUUCCAAGAAAAGCUUGCACUGUCAUAGAUAAAAACUGCCUGUACCAUAACCGACACAGGUGGGUAGGUAGAGUAUACUAAGGGGCGCGAGAUAACUCUCUCUAAGGAACUCGGCAAAAUGACUCCGUAACUUCGGGAGAAGGAGUGCCUUUUUUAAGGUUGCAAUAACCAGAUCCAAGCAACUGUUUAUCAUAAACACAGGUCUCCGCUAAGUCGUAAGACGAUGUAUGGGGGCUGACGCCUGCCCAGUGCCAGAAGGUUAAAGAAGUUGCUUAGCAUUGCGAAGCUGAUGACUGAAGCCCUGGUGAACGGCGGCCGUAACGAUAACGGUCCUAAGGUAGCGAAAUUCCUUGUCGGGUAAGUUCCGACCCGCACGAAAGGCGUAAUGAUUUGGAUACUGUCUCAGAGAGGGGCUCGGUGAAAUAGACUUGUCUGUGAAGAUGCGGACUACCUGCACCUGGACAGAAAGACCCUAUGAAGCUUUACUGUAACUUGAGAUUGAAAUUGGACUUUAUUUGCGCAGUAUAGGUGGGAGGCUAUGAUAAUAUUCUUGCGGGAAAAUUGGAGCCAUCAGUGAGAUACCACUCUUGUAAUGUUAGAUUUCUAACUUUGUAUCAUUAUCUGGUCAAAGGGCAGUUUCAGGCGGGCAGUUUGACUGGGGCGGUCGCCUCCCAAAUGGUAACGGAGGCGCACAAAGGUUUCCUCUGAACGGGUAGAAAUCGUAUCUAGAGUGUAAAGGCAUAAGGAAGCUUGACUGUGAGACCUACAAGUCGAGCAGGGACGAAAGUCGGUCUUAGUGAUCUGACGGUGCUGAGUGGAAAGGCCGUCACUCAACGGAUAAAAGUUACUCUAGGAUAACAGGCUGAUCUCCCCCAAGAGUUCACAUCGACGGGGAGGUUUGGCACCUCGAUGUCGGCUCAUCGCAUCCUGGGGCGGUAGUACGUCCCAAGGGUUGGGCUGUUCGCCCAUGAAAGCGGUACGCGAGCUGGGUUCAGAACGUCGUGAGACAGUCCGGUCCAUAUCCGGUGUAGGCGUUAGAAUAUUGAGAGGAGCCUUCUUUAGUACGAGAGGACCGAGAAGGACAUACCUAUGGUGUACCAGUUAUCGUGCCAACGGUAAACGCUGGGUAGCUAUGUAUGGAGUGGAUAACCGCUGAAAGCAUCUAAGUGGGAAGCCCACCUCAAGAUAAGUAUUCUCA